rnacentral:rRNA from 1 species
AUUGAACGCUGGCGGCGGGCUUAACACAUGCAAGUCGAGCGGAGAGAGGUAGCUUGCUACUGAUCUUAGCGGCGGACGGGUGAGUAAUGCUUAGGAAUCUGCCUAUUAGUGGGGGACAACAUUUCGAAAGGAAUGCUAAUACCGCAUACGUCCUACGGGAGAAAGCAGGGGAUCUUCGGACCUUGCGCUAAUAGAUGAGCCUAAGUCGGAUUAGCUAGUUGGUGGGGUAAAGGCCUACCAAGGCGACGAUCUGUAGCGGGUCUGAGAGGAUGGUGCGCCACACUGGGACUGAGACACGGCCCAGACUCCUACGGGAGGCAGCAGUGGGGAAUAUUGGACAAUGGGCGCAAGCCUGAUCCAGCCAUGCCGCGUGUGUGAAGAAGGCCUUAUGGUUGUAAAGCACUUUAAGCGAGGAGGAGGCUACUUUAGUUAAUACCUAGAGAUAGUGGACGUUACUCGCAGAAUAAGCACCGGCUAACUCUGUGCCAGCCGCCGCAGUAAAAC